rnacentral:lncRNA from 1 species
GCCAGAAGACGAUGGCGGUAGGGGAGAUCACGCGAGAGCAUGGCCUCCACCUCUCCUCCCCACCGCCAUCUCCACGUUCUCGCACCGGCGCUGGGGUGCAGGCUUUCAGUGGUCUCAGGGCUACGGCUUGUCGGUGCCUCGCCGCACAGUCCCCUUUGCAUUGAAGGACACGGUCUUACGGUGUAGGAGCAUUUUUGAGGUGCAUUCCUGGAUUUGGAGGCGAACCCCCAAUGGUUACCUCCACAGAGGCUUUGCGAAGGGCGCUCACUGACUUAGGUGAAGAGCGAAGGCUCAAGACUGUGCCGCUUUAUAGUGGCCCCUUGACGUCCAGAAGUUCCCCCCAGCGCCGGUCAUAAGCACUCCCGCCGCCUGGGCCCCGCCCUGCCUGCCAGGCGCCCUCCAGCCUCAGCUCCCGGACGCCCGGCGUGGCCGCUUUCUCGCGUCUUGCUGACCCGGGCCGGGGGCGUGUGCUCCUCCUGCAGCGGACGGAAGAUGCUGGGCCACGCAAGUUUCCCUGGGCUUGGUUAACCACCCCAAAGCCCAUUUCCAGAAGGAAAGGGUGUUGAGGAGGAGGGAUAGAAAGUCGAGAAGAGGGCCGGGUGAGUGGCUCACGCCUGUCAUCCCAGCACUUUGGGAGGCCGAGACAGGCGGAUCACCUGAGGUCAGGACUUAGAGACCAGCCUGGCCUACAUGGUGAAACCCCGUCUCUACUAAAAAUACAAAAAUUAGCCGGGUGUGGUGCCGUGCGCCUGUAGUCCCAGCAACUCGGGAGGCUGAGGUAGGAGAAUCGCUUGAACCCGGGAGUCGGAGGUUGCAGUGCUGAGAUGGCACCUGGCCUGGGCGGCAAGAGCGAAACUCCAUCUCAAAAAAAAAAAGAAGAGGAAAUGAGGCAUAGGGGCAGGCGAGCCGGGAAAAUAUUGCUACUAAGGAUCCUAAGCAGUGAACAUGCUGUUAAUACUUGUAAGACUCCUAGCAAACUGCAUUUAAUUUUUUAAAUUAGUUUUAGUGUACAUAAAGGCAUGUCUUUUCCAAAUACUGUACUUUUUGAAGUGUUCUUUGUUGUUCAUUAAUCUUUGUGCGUUUCCCUUCAGUCUCUAAUAGUAGGUUGUAGCAUGAUUUGCUUCCAUCGUGUGAAUUCUGUUCGGUUUUGAUUUUCAAGUAUGAGAGUGAGCGUAAGCUACCCUUAUAGGUUACCUAAGGGUCUUGCUCUGUUGCUCAGGCUGGAGUGAAGUAGAGCAUUCACAGCCCACUGCAACCUUGAACACCUGGGCUCAAGCAAUCCUCCUGCCUCAGCCUCCUGAGUAGCUGGGACCACAGAUGUGUACCACCAUGCCCAGCUACAUGUCUUUCUUUUGGGGGGACAGCAGAAACCUGGGCAGAGGAGGAAUCCUGAUACCCAGUUCUGAAACAAAGUGGCAGAAUUUGUAAUACAGAAGAAGGAUCUUGUGACUGGUAUUCUGUUAUCCACAAGAGUAAAUGUUCCCAAAUAAACAAAACUGGGAUAUGAAAUGGUGGAGUGUGUGGUGCCUGUUCAUGAAAAAAAAAGGUCUAGAUUGCAAGAGUAAUAUUAGAGGAUUUUGGAGAUGUUUUACAACCAGAGAAUAAAAGACCAUCCUUUUGUCUGACAUGGUACAGUUUUAUGCCCCUUACAUGCAACAAGAAAACAAAAGCUAAAUAAAAUCGUAGGUCCUGAUCCUCCAGUGCUUAGAUACACUUAAUUUAAUUUUUGAAAUACUUAAGCCUACGUCAGAGAUCAUUGAGUAUUUAUUUGGGGGAAACAGAGGAGGCAAUGGCUCACCCCUGUCAGAGAGGAUCAACAACAUGCAGACAUUCCUUAUUAUGAGAGAUGGGUAACUGGAGUCUGCUUACCCUACUUCCAAAGCUUAAAUAUUUAGCAGUCAAAAAUGGAUAUAGAGCUGUACAAAGGAAUUGGAAACAUUCAUCUUUUUUUUUCAUUGUAGUAUCUCAAGCAUAUAGAAUGGGACUUAAAAUGAAAUACAAUAGCCCCUUGUUUGAAUCCACCCCACCCUUACAUUCACUCCCCGGAAUCAACAAGUUUUAAUUAUUUCUGCUUUU